rnacentral:misc_RNA from 1 species
UACGUAGGUGGCAAGCGUUGUCCGGAAUUACUGGGCGUAAAGGGCGUGUAGGCGGCUUUUUAAGUCAGACGUGAAAUCCCUGGGCUUAACCCAGGACCUGCGUUUGAAACUGGAGAGCUUGAGGACCGGAGAGGGUAGUGGAAUUCCCAGUGUAGCGGUGAAAUGCGUAGAUAUUGGGAGGAACACCAGUGGCGAAGGCGACUGCCUGGACGGCACCUGACGCUGAGGCGCGAAAGCCAGGGGAGCAAACGGG